ACUCAAAUGAAUUGACGGGGACCCGCACAAGCAGCGGAGCGUGUGGUUUAAUUCGACGCAACGCGCAAAACCUCACCUAGAUUUGACAUGGAGCUGCAAGCCCUGGAAACAGGGUCGCCUUCGAGGGUGCUCCACCGGUGCUGCAUGGCUGUCGUCAGCUCGUGUCGUGAGAUGUUGGGUUAAGUCCCGCAACGAGCGCAACCCUCGUCGCCAGUUAUACCUGUCUGGCGAGACUGCCCUUCGGGGAGGAAGGUGGGGAUGACGUCAAGUCCGCAUGGCCCCUACGUCUAGGGCUACACACACGCUACAAUGGCGUCGCUAGUGCGUCGCGAGUGGGUAACCACGAGCUAAUCGGCAAACGGCGCCCCAGUGCAGAUCGGGGGCUGAAACUCGCCCCCGUGAAGGCGGAGUUGCUAGUAACCGCGUAUCAGCAGUGGCGCGGUGAAUACGUACCCGGGUCUUGCACACACCGCCCGU
rnacentral:rRNA from 1 species